CCUACGGGUGGCAGCAGUGAGGAAUAUUGGUCAAUGGGCGCGAGCCUGAACCAGCCAAGUAGCGUGAAGGAUGACUGCCCUACGGGUUGUAAACUUCUUUUAUAAAGGAAUAAAGUGAGGCACGUGUGCCUUUUUGUAUGUACUUUAUGAAUAAGGAUCGGCUAACUCCGUGCCAGCAGCCGCGGUAAUACGGCGGAUCCGAGCGUUGUCCGGAUUUAUUGGGUUUAAGGGGAGCGUAGAUGGGUUGUUAAGUCAGUUGUGAAAGUUUGCGGCUCAACCGUAAAAUUGCAAUUGAUACUGGGAGUCUUGAGUACAGUUGAGGUAGGCGGAAUUCGUGGUGUAGCGGUGAAAUGCUUAGAUAUCACGAAGAACUCUGAUUGCGAAGGCAGCUUACUAAACUGUCACUGACACUGAUGCUCGAAGGUGUGGGUAUCAAAAAGGAUUAGAUACCCCUGUAGUC
rnacentral:rRNA from 1 species